rnacentral:lncRNA from 10 species
CAUCUUGUGCUGUUUUAUGUUCUGAGAAGGAUUGAUUACCACAAAGACAGAUCUAUAGAGAAUGUGAGUGGAAACUAUACGAGCUGCUAACGGGACAAGGCAUUUAAGAAUCAUCCGAGUUCUGCUCUUCUUGCUGGCUGGAGCUAAGAAUUCAAGAACAAACACCAGCAAAGAGAUUCAAUACAAAUAUCCAAUUUUGAGAUAAGGGAUGGAUAACCAUAGUGCAUGCCCUCAGAACUUUUAAUCUUUAUGAAACAUUUGAAGACCUCGAGAAAGGACAAUACCCUUGGUUCUAUACAGAUGCUGUCAUGAAUUCAUCUUAUAUCAGUUUCAUAAUCCAUGUAGUCAAAUACCAUUGAGGAUAGUUGUGUGGUCACUAUGUUGUAAUAUCAGACAAAGAUGACAGUGAAUCUGCAAAAGAAGAAAGCAUUCUGAGAACCACUGAUUCCAGAGCAGGUGAAGGAAAUUUGAAAACGUAUGAAGAAAGAGACAAACAUUGGAGUUAUGCUGCCAACAACCAAGGAACAUCUGGGGCUACAAAAAGCUGGAAGAGGCAAGGAUGGACCUUUCUCUACAAGUUUCAGAAGGAGCACGGCCCAGUCCACACCUUGAUUUCAGAUUUCUAGCCUUCAGAACUGUGAGACAAUAUAUUUCUGUUGUUGAAAGCCACUCCAUUUGUGGUAUUUUGUUAUGGCCCUAGAAAACUAAUCAAUAGAUAUUAAGGUGAGAAAAAUAGUUUCAUUGCAAAAUAAUUUCUCCACAGCAAGUUCUAAGAGUGAACAUACUUUUAAAUGCAGCUAAAUAAAAAUGAAGAAUGUCUCAGUGACUUUACUGUAUUAAUGGCUAUCUUGAUGCUCCUAGAGGAGAAUUGUAACAUAAAAUAUUUUCAUUUCUUAAUUAGUUUUGUUUGUUAGUUUUUGUUUUUUUAGAUACAGAGCACUCUCCUGUUGCCCCAGAUGGAAGGUAAUGGUGCAAUCAUGCGCAAUCACACCUCACUGCAGCCUCAACUUUCUGGGAUCCAGUGAUCCUCCUGCCUCAGCCUCCCAUGUAGCUGGGAACACAGAUUUGCACCACAGCACCAGGCUAAUAUAAAAAUAUUUGUUAGUGGAACAAAACAUUUUCCAUACUGGUCAUGUCACAUAACUACUACUCAAUGGAAGCUAAUUUGGGAAAUGCAGAAUGUCAAAAUUAAAAUAAUUACCAUAAUACCUAGAAAAUUCAAAGCAACUUCUUAUUUUCCUCCAGGCAAAG